UAGGCGAAAAUUUUCUUCGUUGGAAAACUUUUUUGGCUGCGAUAUUCGAAAUAUUUCGAUACUUGGGAACAGUCUGUGGAAUCCUGAAAAUGAAAACAAAAUCUUAGCAGUUGUAAAUCGUUGCGGAUUUUCGAUACCUCCUAUUGUACGUUUGAGCUCUAAGGGUUGCUAAAUGUUCGUUACGAAGACGAGUGCAGAACGGAAUUUUUUGGCAGAACUGGAGCAAUCAACUACUGGCAAAGAUGCGAACUUCACGGAAGCAGCCAAAACAUCACGAUCUUCGUUUGAAAAUGUACCGACGCGGUGACAUUUUGACGUACUCGUAUUUUUAGCAAAAUAUUUGUUUCUCGUUGCGAAGUCGAAGAAAACCGAAAAGAAAUGAAGAAAAAGGCGAGGUGAGGACGAAUUUUUGCCACGAUGAGGUGAUAAAAGCAUCAAAGUACGAAUAGCUAGAUGACGUUUGACAUUUUGUUGCGGUUUCAUUGAUUCAACGAGUUUAUCAGCAAAGAUACUUCUACCAGUUCUUACUCUUUCGUCAUCAUCAUAAUUAUAUUGAUGCAGCAUGGAAAAGUGAACUUCGGUUACCCCACGUUAUUCCUUCUUACAUUAGGGUAAAUCAGCUAUCAGCAACGAAUAAAGAACAUUUCGAUACAUACACAUUGUAGCCGAAAAGCUUUCCGUAGCAGUGCCAGAGAGCGCCAUUUGCUGGGAGGAAGACGAGCAGCGAAACAAUAUUAGAAUUCGAUGGCGGAGAAUUUUUAAUUUGCAGCGGACGAAUAACCUUACGUGUUAAAUAUAUUUGAAGGAAAUAUUGUUCGAUUUUACCUCGUUCUUUAAAUUUAGACUUUUUUUUUGUUUUUUUAAUUUUAAUUCAAUUUUUCACAAUAUUGAUUUAUUUUCUAUUUUUCUGUGCUUCGAUUUUGUUUUUAGAAUUUUUUACGGUUUUCAACUUUUCAUUGUGAGCUGUUGUCUUUUCACUUUCUGUGUUUGUUUUUACCUUAUUUGUUUUUGGUUAAGUUUCAAUUCACAUAUUCCUUUUCUCAUACUCUUUCAUUUUUUCAUUCAAAAUUUAUCAUUUCUCAUCAUUUUUUUUACGUUUUUUACGUUUUCAUGUUUUCAUGGUUAUUUUUUGCUAAUUUUUCCAUUUAUUCAUUUCUUUUUGUUCUUUGUUUUAUUUUACUUUAUUGCAUUACUUUUUGAAGGAUUUCAAUUUUCAAAUUUAUUUCAAUUUUCUCUAUUUCUUAUUCUUUUUUUUCUGGAUUAAUUACCUACUUUUUCAACAUUCGCGUUUUUCUUAAUUUUAGAUUUGUGAAGAAUGUGUUCGGCUUUCAAUUGUGAUUUUUUCAAGGACAAGAAUGGUUUCCAGGGGGGGGGGGUUUCAGGGUCGAGGAAUUCAUUGCGAUGAUCGGUAGCCUGCUACAGUUUGAUUGGAAGCCUGUGGAGCGGUUUUGCACAAUGAAAAGUACCAAAAAUGCCACUUACGCGCAUCUCUCAAGAAAAUGAAGGUCAUAUUCGAAAUCAGCAACCCAAAAUUAGUUCAAAACCGUUGCUCUCUGCCUGCAAAGUCGCAAGUCGCGCAGUCCAAUCAAAAAUUGCAAAUUGGAAGGUCUUUACCUUGCAGUGUGCAGAAAUGAAGGGUCCGCGCGAGUUUGCGAAUUGGAAUUUGAAAAUGGUGCUACUGGGGGUUUAUUGGGACGGCGAAUUCAAUUCCGCAAACCACAGCUCAUGACACCGCUUUGUUCUCCUGCAAACUGGGUUUGAAUUCGCCAGAAAGAUGAAAUUUCAAGUUUUUGACAAAAAUGUGAUUUUUUCAAGGACAAGAAUGGUUUCCAGGAGGGAUUUUCAGGGUCGAGGAAUUCAUUGCGAUGAUCGGUAGCCUGCUACAGUUCGAUUGGAAGCCUGUGGGGCGGUUUUGCACAAUGAAAAGUACCAAAAAUGCCACUUACGCGCAUCUCCCAAGAAAAUGAAGGUCAUAUUCGAAAUCAGCGACCCAAAAUUAGUCACAAGUCGUCUUUGUUGCGGACAAAUCGCUCAC